rnacentral:rRNA from 1 species
CUUGUCGGGUAAGUUCCGACCUGCACGAAUGGCGUAACGACAGCGGCGCUGUCUCCACCCGAGACUCAGUGAAAUUGAAAUCGCUGUGAAGAUGCAGCGUUCCCGUGGCAAGACGGAAAGACCCCGUGAACCUUUACUAUAGCUUUACACUGAACGUUGAGUUCGUCUGUGUAGGAUAGGUGGGAGGCUAUGAAACUGUGGCGCUAGCUGCAGCGGAGCCAUCCUUGAAAUACCACCCUGUCGUGCUUGACGUUCUAACCUGGGCCCAUUAUCUGGGUCGGGGACCGUGUAUGGUGGGUAGUUUGACUGGGGCGGUCUCCUCCCAAAGUGUAACGGAGGAGUUCGAAGGUACGCUUGGUACGGUCGGACAUCGUACCU